rnacentral:rRNA from 1 species
AUGGAGCUGAUGGCUACGUCGUGCUUCAAGGAGGUGUUCACAAAGGAUCCGACCCUGGCACCAGAGUCAGUCCUUGAGAAUAUACUACCCAAAGUUUCCCAAGAGAUGAACGACAUGCCAUGUGCACCGUUUUCUGAGGAGGAGGUGGCCAAUGCACUCUUCCAAAUAGGUCCGUUGAAGGCACCAGGCACAGAUGGUUUUCCGGCUCGGUUCUAUCAACGCAACUGGGCGGUCUUGAAAAAUGAAAUCACGGCGGUGGUGUUGGAGUUCUUCAAAUCAGGAAUCAUGCCAGAGGGCGUGAAUGAUACUGCUAUUGUGCUGAUUCCAAAAGUGCCUUUCCCUAAAGAACUUAAGGAGUUUCGUCCAAUAAGUUUGUGCAAUGUGAUUUACAAAAUUGUGUCCAAGUGCUUGGUUAAUCGCCUCCGUCCUUUAUUGGCGGACCUUAUCUCUAAGAACCAAAGUGCCUUCAUUCCCGGGAGGCUGAUUUCUGAUAAUUCUAUCAUAGCGUUUGAAUGCAUUCAUCAUAUUCAAUCCAUUAAGCAAAAUAGUCAUGCGGCAUGUUCUUACAAGCUUGACCUUUCGAAGGCUUAUGACCAUGUGGAUUGGGAUUUUCUCGAGAAGGCCCUAGUUAAGUGGGGUUUUUCUGGUGUCUGGAUAGGCUGGAUCAUGGCAUGCGUUAAAUCGGUAAAAUAUUCGGUGAAGCUCAACGGAAAAUUACUUGAGGUGUUCUCCCCUUCGCGGGGCUUGCGACAAGGUGAUCCAUUGUCUCCUUUCCUUUUCCUAUUUGGCGCUGAUGCUUUGUCUGCUCUUAUUUCCAAGUCUGUCGCGGAUGGUGACUUGCGGGGUGUGAGUAUUUGUCGGGGUGCACCAAUUAUAUCCCACUUUCUUUUUGCGGACGACACAAUGUUGCUCUUCGAGGCAUCUGGCCAGCAAGCUAGCAUUGUCAAAGGUUUGUUGAACACUUAUACUGCAGCAACGGGUCAACUUAUUAACCCAGAGAAGUGUUCCAUCCUGUUUUCGGACAAUUGUAACGCGGCGGUGGUGGAUGAGGUGAAGGGCCUUUUGGACAUAACACAGCAAGUGUACUUGGGGUUACCGGUACCUGAGGGGAGAAUGCAUAAAGGGAGUUUUGAAACACUCCAGGAGCGUUUGAGGAAGAGAUUAAUAGAUUGGAGCGAACAUUAUAUGUCUGUGGGCAAUAAAGAAAUUCUCAUCAAAGCAGUGGCACAGGCCAUUCCCACAUAUGUUAUGAGCGUCUUCAAGUUGCCUGCCUCUGUAUGUGAUGAGUUAACACGGAUGACGAGACAGUACUGGUGGGGGUGGAGAAUGGUAAAAGGAAGAUGGCAUGGCUCAGUUGGGAGAAAAUGA